UACGUAGGUGGCGAGCGUUAUCCGGAAUGAUUGGGCGUAAAGGGUGCGCAGGCGGUCUGUUAAGUCAGCGGUCAAAGCCCGGGGCUCAACCCCGGCCCGCCGUUGAAACUGGCAGUCUCGAGUUGGAGAGAAGUAUGCGGAAUUCGUGGUGUAGCGGUGAAAUGCUUAGAUAUCACGAAGAACUCCGAUUGCGAAGGCAGCUCACUGGACUGCAACUGACACUGAGGCUCGAAAGUGUGGGUAUCAAACAGG
rnacentral:rRNA from 1 species